rnacentral:rRNA from 1 species
AUUGAACGCUGGCGGCAGGCCUAACACAUGCAAGUCGAGCGAGAGGCGGACGGGUGAGUAAUGUAUGGGGAUCUGCCCGAUAGAGGGGGAUAACUACUGGAAACGGUGACUAAUACCGCAUACUAUCGGAUGAACCCAUAUGGGAUUAGCUAGUAGGUGGGGUAAAGGAUCACCUAGGCGACGAUCUCUAGCUGGUCUGAGAGGAUGAUAAGCCACACUGGAACGGAGACACGGCCCGGACUCCUACGGGAGGCAGCAGUGGGGAGUAGUGCACAAUGGGAGCAAGCCUGAUGCAGCCAUGCCGCGUGUAUUAAGAAGGCCUUAGUGUUGUAAAGUACUUUUAGCGAGGAGGCGUUACUCGCAGAAGAAGCACCGGCUAACUCCGUGCCAGCAGCCGCGGUAAUUC